ACCUGAGUGGCUCAGUCGGUUAAGCGCCUGACUUCGGCUCAGGUCAUGAUCUCGUGGUUCAUGGGUUCGAGCCCUGUGUCGGGCU
rnacentral:tRNA from 1 species